UUGGCACCUCGAUGUCGGCUCAUCACAUCCUGGGGCUGAAGUCGGUCCCAAGGGUAUGGCUGUUCGCCAUUUAAAGUGGUACGCGAGCUGGGUUUAGAACGUCGUGAGACAGUUCGGGGUAGCUAAGUUCGGAAUCGAUAACCGCUGAAAGCAUCUAAGCGGGAAGCGAGCCCUGAGAUGAGUCUUCCCUGAUACUUUAAGUAUCCUAAAGGGUUGUCGGAGACUACGACGUUGAUAGGUCAGGUGUGUAAGUGCUGUGAGGCAUUGAGCUAACUGAUACUAAUUGCCCGUGAGGCUUAACCAUACAACACCCAAGGGGUUU
rnacentral:rRNA from 1 species